UUUAAGUAGGUAAUGGGCUACUUGCACAAUCAGUCACAAUCGCUUCCGCGUUCUACUUAAUACUGCUCAGCUGUUUCCGGUGGAACGAUGGCGAAAGCUAUUUUUCACCUGCUUUCAAGAGCUCCCAAAAUAUGUAUGGCAGACGUCCACCUGGACCUGCAAGAGAUCCCAAGUAGGGUUUUCAGCUGUAUGUGCACUUACAUACACAACUAUGAAGGGUGUGACGCCCGGACCCAUCAACUCCAUGGUCUUCACCAAGCCAGUACCAAAGCGAAGGGUACAGACUGGAGAGUGGAUUCUACAGAGGCCUGGAUUCUACAGAGGCCUGGUCUGGAUUCUACAGAGGUCUGGAUUCUACAGAGGCCUGGUCUGGCCAUUACCUGAUCCCUGCAUGUUCAGAAUAACAGAGGCAUACAGUAGAUUCAGUAUUGAGGAACAGCCACUCGUGACCUAACCAGCCCCUUGUAGAGAUUGGUAUCGGGUUAUUCCAAAAGGGAAGUGUCCUGUCAUAUCAACAGCCUGCACAGCAUCUAUACAAAGGGGCCUAAUGAUUGUUGCUCAUUUUUACAAAUCUAUACAAAGGGGCCUAAUGAUUGUUGUAAUCGACUGACACUCCUAAAAAAAAAAUUGUACAACACCUAGUUUUUGAGUCAAAGACAUGACAGACCCCAUGGUUCAAACAUGUUAUACAUUUUAUUUGUAAAAGAGACUAAAUAAUGUAUAUAUUAAUGAUAUUAUAGGCAGUUUUUUCAAUGUGAAAAAAAUGUAUGUAUGUGAUUCAUGUGUACAGUACCCACUAUUUUACUUUUGAGCUAUGUUGUACUAUAUUGUAUGUACUGUACAUCAAAUUUUACAUUAAAAAUAUAUGGCAAGUAA